rnacentral:rRNA from 1 species
GAUGAACGCUGGCGGCGUGCCUAAUACAUGCAAGUCGAGCGAACAGACGAGGAGCUUGCUCCUCUGACGUUAGCGGCGGACGGGUGAGUAACACGUGGAUAACCUACCUAUAAGACUGGGAUAACUUCGGGAAACCGGAGCUAAUACCGGAUAAUAUAUUGAACCGCAUGGUUCAAUAGUGAAAGACGGUUUUGCUGUCACUUAUAGAUGGAUCCGCGCCGCAUUAGCUAGUUGGUAAGGUAACGGCUUACCAAGGCAACGAUGCGUAGCCGACCUGGGAGGGUGAUCGGCCACACUGGAACUGAGACACGGUCCAGACUCCUACGGGAGGCAGCAGUAGGGAAUCUUCCGCAAUGGGCGAAAGCCUGACGGAGCAACGCCGCGUGAGUGAUGAAGGUCUUCGGAUCGUAAAACUCUGUUAUUAGGGAAGAACAGAUGUGUAAGUAACUAUGCACGUCUUGACGGUACCUAAUCAGAAAGCCACGGCUAACUACGUG